rnacentral:rRNA from 1 species
UACGGAGGGUGCAAGCGUUAAUCGGAAUUACUGGGCGUAAAGCGUGCGUAGGUGGUUCGUUAAGUCCGUUGUGAAAGCCCCGAGCUCAACUUGGGAAUUGCAGUGGAUACUGGCGAGCUAGAGUGCGGUAGAGGAAGGUGGAAUUCCCGGUGUAGCGGUGAAAUGCGUAGAGAUCGGGAGGAACACCAGUGGCGAAGGCGAGUUCCUGGACAGUUACUGACGCUGAGGCACGAAGGCCAGGGGAGCAAACGGG